rnacentral:rRNA from 1 species
GACUGGGAUAACACCUGGAAACAGAUGCUAAUACCGGAUAACAACACUAGACGCAUGUCUAGAGUUUGAAAGAUGGUUCUGCUAUCACUCUUGGAUGGACCUGCGGUGCAUUAGCUAGUUGGUAAGGUAACGGCUUACCAAGGCAAUGAUGCAUAGCCGAGUUGAGAGACUGAUCGGCCACAUUGGGACUGAGACACGGCCCAAACUCCUACGGGAGGCAGCAGUAGGGAAUCUUCCACAAUGGACGAAAGUCUGAUGGAGCAACGCCGCGUGAGUGAAGAAGGGUUUCGGCUCGUAAAGCUCUGUUGGUAGUGAAGAAAGAUAGAGGUAGUAACUGGCCUUUAUUUGACGGUAAUUACUUAGAAAGUCACGGCUAACUACGUGCCAGCAGCCGCGGUAAUACGUAGGUGGCAAGCGUUGUCCGGAUUUAUUGGGCGUAAAGCGAGUGCAGGCGGUUCAAUAAGUCUGAUGUGAAUGCCUUCGGCUCAACCGGAGAAUUGCAUCAGAAACUGUUGAACUUGAGUGCAGAAGAGGAGAGUGGAACUCCAUGUGUAGCGGUGGAAUGCGUAGAUAUAUGGAAGAACACCAGUGGCGAAGGCGGCUCUCUGGUCUGCAACUGACGCUGAGGCUCGAAAGCAUGGGUAGCGAACAGGAUUAGAUACCCUGGUAGUCCAUGCCGUAAACGAUGAGUACUAAGUGUUGGGAGGUUUCCGCCUCUCAGUGCUGCAG